UUGCCUGAUUUCGAGUCCGUGUGAGAAAGUUACGCCUAUUUUAAGAAAUGACACCUGAAUGACGCC
rnacentral:rRNA from 1 species